UUACGGCCAGAGCAAUUUGAAACGCCAGUUUCCGUAAGAUCACCAAAGUUAAGAAAUAUCGAGCCUUGUCUGUACCGGGAUGGGUGACCGACGGAUGUGCAGCUGUUGUAA